rnacentral:rRNA from 1 species
GAUGAACGCUAGCGGGAGGCUUAAUACAUGCAAGUCGAACGGUAACAGGUGUAGCAAUACAUGCUGACGAGUGGCGCACGGGUGAGGAACACGUACGCAAUCCGCCUUUGACUGGGGGAUAGCCCUGGGAAACUAGGAAUAAUACCCCAUAACAUCACGGUGUGGCAUCACAUUGUGAUUAAACCUUCGGGGGUCAAAGAGGAGCGUGCGUUUGAUUAGGUAGUUGGCGGGGUAACGGACCACCAAGCCUACGAUCAAUAGCUGGCGUGAGAGCGCGACCAGCCACACGGGAACUGAGACACGGUCCCGACUCCUACGGGAGGCAGCAGUAGGGAAUAUUGGACAAUGGCUGAAAAGCUGAUCCAGCCAUCCCGCGUGAAGGCAGAAGGUCCUAUGGAUUGUAAACUUCUUUUCUCUGGGAAGAAAAUACGGGUUUCUACCUGUACUGACGGUACCAGAGGAAUAAGCACCGGCUAACUCCGUGCCAGCCGCCGCGGUAACAC